UUUCCGUAGGUGAACCUGCGGAAGGAUCAUUAUCGAGUUUUGACCGGGUUGUAGCUGGCCUUCCGAGGCAUGUGCACGCCCUGCUCAUCCACUCUACACCUGUGCACUUACUGUGGGCUUCAGAUUGCGAGGCACGCUCUUUACCGGGCUUGCGGAGCAUAUCUGUGCCUGCGUUUAUCACAAACUCUAUAAAGUAACAGAAUGUGUAUUGUGAUGUAACACAUUUAUAUACAACUUUCAGCAACGGAUCUCUUGGCUCUCGCAUCGAUGAAGAACGCAGCGAAAUGCGAUAAGUAAUGUGAAUUGCAGAAUUCAGUGAAUCAUCGAAUCUUUGAACGCACCUUGCGCUCCUUGGUAUUCCGAGGAGCAUGCCUGUUUGAGUGUCAUGAAAUCUUCAACCUACAAGCUUUUGUGGUUUGUAGGCUUGGACUUGGAGGCUUGUCGGCCGUUAUCGGUCGGCUCCUCUUAAAUGCAUUAGCUUGGUUCCUUGCGGAUCGGCUCUCGGUGUGAUAAUGUCUACGCCGCGACCGUGAAGCGUUUGGCGAGCUUCUAACCGUCUUAUAAGACAGCUUUAUGACCUCUGACCUCAAAUCAGGUAGGACUACCCGCUGAACUUAA
rnacentral:rRNA from 1 species